rnacentral:rRNA from 1 species
GAUGAACGCUGGCGGCGUGCCUAAUACAUGCAAGUCGAGCGAACAGACGAGGAGCUUGCUCCUCUGACGUUAGCGGCGGACGGGUGAGUAACACGUGGAUAACCUACCUAUAAGACUGGGAUAACUUCGGGAAACCGGAGCUAAUACCGGAUAAUAUAUUGAACCGCAUGGUUCAAUAGUGAAAGACGGUUUUGCUGUCACUAAUAGAUGGAUCCACGCCGAAUUAGCUAGUUGGUAAGGUAACGGCUUACCAAGGCAACGAUGCGUAGCCGACCUGGGAGGGUGAUCGCCCACACUGGAACUGAGACACGGUCCAGACUCCUACGGGAGGCAGCAGUAGGGAAUCUUCCGCAAUGGGCGAAAGCCUGACGGAGCAACGCCGCGUGAGUGAUGAAGGUCUUCGGAUCGUAAAACUCUGUUAUUAGGGAAGAACAAAUGUGUAAGUAACUAUGCACGUCUUGACGGUACCUAAUCAGAAAGCCACGGCUAACUACGUG